CGCAGCUUCAGUUAAAGGAGCAGGGGCCACCGUGGCCGCAGGCUGAUUCUUACACUGCACAAGUUCAUGGUCAGGGGGACCAAAUCAGGAGUUACAAAGUUGGAAGUGGCAAGGAAUGAAAUAUUUUGGGUGGAGCAGGAGUAAAGGGACGAGAGGAAGGCAACAUCUAGUGGGACUUCUAUAAACUACAAAAGAGAAACCUUGAUGGUGAUAAGGAUAAUGUGACAUCGGUGAGAUGGAAAGCCAUCUUUGGUUGUGACAUAUCGGUGACAUGGAAAGCCAUCUUUUGGGGCAUAUUCUUAUCCAAUUAGGUAAAGAGAAGUGGUGUCUUCAACCUCAAGAAAUGCUCAUGAAUGCAUUGAGUGUGAGCUAAGGAACUCAUCCUUUAAAUGAGAUGGUUGAUGUUAAAGAUAAUAUAUUGACACUCAUGUUUGUAAAUUUUGUGUUUUAUCUCUCAUAUUCUUUAGUGAAAUGUGCAAUAUUGUGUUCUUCAAGUUGAGUUUUAGAGUCCAUAUUUUCUUCACGUGUAAUGGUUCACUAAAUA